rnacentral:misc_RNA from 1 species
GAUGAAGAACGCAGCGAAAUGCGAUAAGUAAUGUGAAUUGCAGAAUUCAGUGAAUCAUCGAAUCUUUGAACGCACAUUGCGCCCGGCAGUAUUCUGCCGGGCAUGCCUGUUCGAGCGUCAUUUCAACCAUCAAGCCCCAGCGCUUGUGUUGGGGGCCUGCGGCUGCCGCAGCCCCCUAAAAGCAGUGGCGGGCUCGCUAUCACACCGAGUGCAGUAGUUCAUCUUCUCUCCGGUCUUGUGAGGCGGGUUCCGGCCGUGAACCACCCAUCAUACUCAAGGUUGACCUCGGAUCAGGUAGGAAUACCCGCUGAACUUAAGCAUAUCAAUAAGCGGAGGA